rnacentral:tmRNA from 2 species
GGGGGUGAAAUUGGUUUCGACGGGAUUGAAGAGGCUUUGAACUGCGUAUCGUGUUCCCCGAAGACACGCUAAAAAAUUGGGACAAAAAAAUAACUGGCGAAUAUAAUUACGCCCUCGCUGCGUAGGUAAACUACGUAGCCGUUCUUUAAGUUUUCUCGCAUAGGAAUUUAAAAGAACGUCGUUUAUGUGCGAUAGCCGAACGGAGCGUCUGUGACCGUAAAGCGAAAUUUAAAGCAGACAGACUUAAUGUAAUCCUUGUUUGUUUGGUAGCGUUAAGUUAAAACAAAAACAAACUAUGUACGUAGAAGUUCUUAGUGUCUUAAUUUCGGACGCGGGUUCGACUCCCGCCACCUCCACCA